GUAGAAGAAUUUCUAGUGUUUUCUCUCCCUCUUCACUUUAUUUGUUCUUUCUGGCCUCACUUUCAUCACUGUCUGCACUUGCAGGUCAUUUCAUUAAUAACCUAGCAACAUAAAUCUGCUUUUUGAAAUGUUCUGAAAAUGCGCCAGACCAUUGUCAUUAAAUAUAUCAGCUGCACAGCCUGAACUUAUUUGUCUGUUGGGAGGAGCAC